rnacentral:tRNA from 1 species
GGCCUCGUCGCCAAGUGGUAAGGCAACGGUUUGCAAAACCGUUAUUCCCCGGUUCGAAUCCGGGCGAGGCCU